CAGCAGCCGCGGGAAAACCGAGGGUGCGAGCGUUAAUCGGAUUUACUGGGCGUAAAGCGUGUGUAGGUUGUUGUUCAAGUCAGUUGUGAAAUCCCUGGGCUCAACCUGGGAACUGCUUCUGAGACUGAACGACUAGAGUACGGUAGAGGGUGGUGGAAUUUCCGGUGUAGCGGUGAAAUGCGUAGAUAUCGGAAGGAACAUCAAUGGCGAAGGCAGCCACCUGGGCCUGUACUGACACUGAGACACGAAAGCGUGGGGAUCAAACAGGAUUAGAUACCCCGGUAGUCCCUGUCUCUUAUAC
rnacentral:rRNA from 1 species